CCUGGCGGCCGUAGCGCGGUGGUCCCAAUCUGACCCCAUGCCGAACUCUUCAGAAGUGAAAAACGCCGUAGCGCCGAUGGUAGUGUGGGGCUUCCCCAUGCGAAAGUAGGAACUGCUGUGC
rnacentral:rRNA from 1 species